rnacentral:lncRNA from 1 species
GUUUCUAUAUUUUAUGUCGGUCACCGGUGUGGCCACUGUCGACAUACAUCUAUCUAUCUGAGCCCUUUGACUCAUGGUAAGUUUGAUAUAUACUGAAAAAUUUCCAUAUUCUUGUGCUGGUGAAGAUGAAGAGCUGUGAACGAGGCAGAACCCUAGCAACUGGCUCUCUUGAUGGCUCAUUGAAUGCAUUUUGAGAGAGUUAUCAGGGAAGAGCAUAGACAGCAGAAACGGUAACCACAGUUCAGCAUUCAUUUCAUUUGGUGACUCACCCACUCUGUCAUCCAAAGAUGGCAUUGAUCUAAAGUGUGACCUUUUCUUCUAUCUCUUAUCAUUAAAAUAAUGCCAGCAAAAGGGCAGUGACUCACCAUGCAAGCAGAUUCGUCGUGAGAAAAUUAGCAGAACAUUGUCACGGAAAGCUUGGCGAAGGGUCUUUUAUUAAUUUCACCUGCAGCCUCCUGGCACCAGAGUUCCUGGGCAUGAACAUUUUGUUCAAGAGAACGCUAAGUGGCAUUCUGUGUCACCGGUGGAAGGUGUAUACAGUGUGUUUAGAAGCUUCUCUCAUGAGCAGCCCCAGUGUAAAAGGCUUUGCAUUUAAAGGAGAUAAAUGAAGAUACUUUAAAAUUUUUCUUCCGUGGCUCCUCUUGGUCCCCAGAAAACAAGAUGAUUGAGAUUUACACUGAGCUGAUGAGUCAGCAAGACUGAUUUCCAAAGACCUGAGAAAUGUCAUAACCCCAUGUACCACUGCGUGUGAACGUAAAUGCGGUGGCAUGAGUACUGCACUAAAAAAGUCUUUCCCCCA